GAUGAACGCUGGCGGCGUGCUUAACACAUGCAAGUCGAACGAAGCGCUUUAUUUGAUUUCCUUCGGGACUGAUUAUUUUGUGACUGAGUGGCGGACGGGUGAGUAACGCGUGGGUAACCUGCCUUGUACAGGGGGAUAACAGUUGGAAACGGCUGCUAAUACCGCAUAAGCGCACAGCAUCGCAUGAUGCAGUGUGAAAAACUCCGGUGGUAUAAGAUGGACCCGCGUUGGAUUAGCUAGUUGGUGAGGUAACGGCCCACCAAGGCGACGAUCCAUAGCCGACCUGAGAGGGUGACCGGCCACAUUGGGACUGAGACACGGCCCAAACUCCUACGGGAGGCAGCAGUGGGGAAUAUUGCACAAUGGGCGAAAGCCUGAUGCAGCGACGCCGCGUGAGCGAAGAAGUAUUUCGGUAUGUAAAGCUCUAUCAGCAGGGAAGAUAAUGACGGUACCUGACUAAGAAGCACCGGCUAAAUACGUG
rnacentral:rRNA from 1 species